rnacentral:lncRNA from 1 species
UUACAUCCGACUCCAAACAAACAAACACACAAGGAAACAGCAUGAAGGGUGGACACACACACAACAAAGAAAAGAAAAACAAAAGGGUGAAGGGUGGACACACACACACCACAAAGAACAAAAAAAAAGUUGCUCGGAGCUCGCUCAAUCUCCUGCCUACGUAUCUCAUCUGGUAUGAGAAUCAGAGCGACGUAGUUCCCCUUAACAGGGGAAAAACUCUCUCCUAACCAGAGACCAGGGAGAUAACA